CACGUAGGGCGCAAGCGUUGUCCGGAAUUAUUGGGCAUAAAGAGCUCGUAGGUGGUUUGUUACGUCUGCUGUGAAAACCUAGGGCUUAACCCUGGGCUUGCAGUGGAUACGGGCAGACUAGAGGUAGGUAGGGGAGAAUGGAAUUCCUGGUGUAGCGGUGAAAUGCGCAGAUAUCAGGAGGAACACCGGUGGCGAAGGCGGUUCUCUGGGCCUUACCUAACACUGAGGAGCGAAAGCGUGGGGAGCGAACAGG
rnacentral:rRNA from 1 species